rnacentral:rRNA from 1 species
UACGUAGGGUGCGAGCGUUGUCCGGAAUUAUUGGGCGUAAAGAGCUUGUAGGCGGUUUGUCGCGUCUGCCGUGAAAAUCCGGGGCUCAACCCCGGACUUGCGGUGGGUACGGGCAGACUAGAGUGUGGUAGGGGAGACUGGAAUUCCUGGUGUAGCGGUGAAAUGCGCAGAUAUCAGGAGGAACACCGAUGGCGAAGGCAGGUCUCUGGGCCACCACUGACGCUGAGAAGCGAAAGCGUGGGGAGCGAACAGG